rnacentral:RNase_P_RNA from 1 species
UCAGUCGGCCGGGCAGCCGCGGAGCGAAAGCUUCGAGGAAAGUCCGGGCUCCACGGAGAAACGGUGCCGGAUAACGUCCGGCGGGGGCGACCCCAGGGAAAGUGCCACAGAGAACGAACCGCCGCGCUCCGCGGACCGGGUAAGGGUGAAAAGGUGCGGUAAGAGCGCACCGCGCGCCUGGUAACAGGAGCGGCACGGCAAACCCCACCGGGAGCAAAGCCAAAUAGGGAUGACGCGGCUUUACGCCGGUUCUCUUCGGACCAGUCAUCCGGGUUGGCUGCUCGAGGCGUUUGGCGACAAACGCCCCAGAGGAAUGGCUGCCACGUGGGGGCAACCCCGCCAUACAGAACCCGGCUUACAGGCCGGCUGAUAUC